CAAAAUUACAUGUUACUGAGUGCUCAUUCUCCCCAUCUCUUCCCACCUGGCAGUAAGAAAGGGAUGAGUGAUUGAAGAACUUCUUACGCCAAAUUCUGCCUUGAGCCUGAUCACAGGGGAGGAUAUUAAUGACCUCCAGAGCAUUAAUAAGUUUGAAUCACCUGGGAUGGAGUAAAUGGAGGCCCCUGGGAAUAGGACCUAGAUGCCUACUCUGAUGGUGCCUCCUAUCUCUUCAUUUCCAGACCCAGAGCUGUCUACGCUACUCCUGGUAGCUGUCACUCUGGGCCCAAAGCUGCUGCUGCUCAUCACUGUCUCUGCCAUCUAUGCCCACAGAAAGAGAAGAUCUGACUGUGUCCCAGGAGGAAAAUAGCACCAAGGACAUAGGAGACACAUGGGGAACAUUUCUGGAAUGAUGAGCAGAUAAUUAACUGUGGUGAACAUGGGUCCUACGGCACCUACCUUCCUCCCCUGCUACAUGCCACCCUCAGUGUCUGCUGCCUCCUUCCUUCCCUGAGGGAUCCAGCCUAAGAGAAGGAACAACUAGAAGCUUCCACAACAACCCUGCUCCAAAUGCCUUGCUUCCCCCAGAGACCCAGCUGCCCACACCUCCUGCUGCUCCUUCUCAGAGUCUUUGAUGCUCCCAGAGCUGGGUCUUCAUAUCAGAUCCUCAGCAGGGACCAUGGGAACUUGCUCUGGGGACUGAUGCAGAGACUUGUGAGAAACAAGUCACAUCUACACAGACCAGG